rnacentral:rRNA from 1 species
UUUCUUUUGGCUCAGGAUGAACGCUAGCGGCAGGCUUAACACAUGCAAGUCGAGGGGCAGCGAGAUCAGUGCUUGCACUGAUUGUCGGCGACCGGCGCACGGGUGCGUAACGCGUAUGCAACCUACCCAUUACAGGGGGAUAACACUGAGAAAUCGGUACUAAUACCCCAUAACAUCCAGGGAGGCAUCUUCUUGGGUUGAAAACUCCGGUGGUAAUGGAUGGGCAUGCGUUGUAUUAGUUAGUUGGUGGGGUAACGGCUCACCAAGACAACGAUACAUAGGGGGACUGAGAGGUUAACCCCCCACAUUGGUACUGAGACACGGACCAAACUCCUACGGGAGGCAGCAGUGAGGAAUAUUGGUCAAUGGACGCAAGUCUGAACCAGCCAUGCCGCGUGCAGGAAGACGGCUCUAUGAGUUGUAAACUGCUUUUGUACGAGGGUAAACGCAGAUACGCGUAUCUGUCUGAAAGUAUCGUACGAAUAAGGAUCGGCUAACUCCGUGCCAGCAGCCGCGGUAAUACGGAGGAUUCAAGCGUUAUCCGGAUUUAUUGGGUUUAAAGGGUGCGUAGGCGGUCGGAUAAGUUAGAGGUGAAAUCCCGGGGCUCAACUUCGGAAUUGCCUCUGAUACUGUUCGGCUAGAGAGUAGUUGCGGUAGGCGGAAUGUAUGGUGUAGCGGUGAAAUGCUUAGAGAUCAUACAGAACACCGAUUGCGAAGGCAGCUUACCAAGCUACUUCUGACGUUGAGGCACGAAAGCGUGGGGAGCAAACAGGAUUAGAUACCCUGGUAGUCCACGCAGUA